CACGUAGGGGGCGAGCGUUGUCCGGAUUUAUUGGGCGUAAAGAGCUCGUAGGCGGCUCGGUAAGUCGGGUGUGAAAUUUCGAGGCUCAACCUCGAAACGCCACCCGAUACUGCUGUGGCUAGAGUCCGGUAGGGGAGCGUGGAAUUCCUGGUGUAGCGGUGAAAUGCGCAGAUAUCAGGAGGAACACCAGCGGCGAAGGCGGCGCUCUGGGCCGGUACUGACGUUGAGGAGCGAAAGCGUGGGGAUCAAACAGG
rnacentral:rRNA from 1 species